rnacentral:misc_RNA from 1 species
UUCCAAGGGGAAAAAAUGUCCGACGUGCCUUUGGCGCAGAUGCCGGUGGCGCCGACCAAAUGGCGUCACCUGCCAACGACGAUUUACGAAAAAAACUACGGCUUCGGGAUAAACUAUUACCAGCCGAUGAUCGACUACCUCGACAGAAAGGAGAGCGCCGAGGCCUCCAAGAGCACGGCCCUCAAGGCCCCGCUACCCUUCACGGAGUCACGCGCCUCUUGGGAGCACAACUACAUCGUGCCCUACAGCAGAGACGAGCUCGCACGGCACACUAUAGCCACCGAAAUGAAGGCCAAGGAGCACUUGGAGAACUUUAAGGCAGCCCAGCGCUCGGACUUCAGUCGGCAAAAGUGCGUACAAGCGGCCCGAGUCUCGAAGGAGGUGUACUCGAGCAAGUUCGAGGCGGAGGCGACGAGGUUGCUGUACAGGCGAGCCGCGAGCGAGCCCGACUCCGAGUUCGCGGCGGAGGAGAUGGCAGGGUUGCGCAGCCAAGCCCUCCGGGAGCUCCAGUCGUGCAGCGACGAGGUGGCCAGCGGCACCACCACCACCGAGUCGUACCACCAGCACGGCCGGCAACUGCGGGGCAAGUCGGCCAAAGCCAUCGAGUUCCAGCUCAAGGCCAACGCGCUGAUGAACUUGUCGAGGAGCGAGGAGCUUGCCGACAUAAGGAAGUACCAGCGCGAGGUCGUCCACGUGCACCACGACGAGGCCGAGCACCAGAGGCUCAUGGAGGAGCGCUUCAGGAAUCUCACCGACCUCGAGAAGCUCACCACGCCCCUGGCCAGCCUCAGCAAGGAGAUGAAGAGCUUCGAGCAGAGGAACAGUAGCUAUUUACUCGACAAGAGCAAGCAGACCAGCAUCGAAAUCGAGCAGCUGAACGCCCGCGUCGUCGAGGCCGAGAUCAAGCUCAAGACGGAAGUGCAGCGCGUCAAGAAGAAGCUGCAGAUCCAGAUCACGGAGCUCGAGCUGUCGCUCGACGUCGCCAACAAGACCAACAUCGACCUCCAGAAGACCAUCAAGAAGCAAUCGCUCACCUUGACCGAGUUGCAAGCCCACUACGAUGAGGUUCAGCGCCAGCUGCAGGUGACGCUCGAUCAGUUGGGCAUCAGCCAGCGCCGCCUGCAAUCCUUGACUUCCGAGCUCGAGGAGGUCCGCGGCAACUACGAAUCCGCCCUUCGUGCCAAGAGGACGGUCGAGCAGGCGUACGAGGAGGCGACGAGCCGCAUAAACGAGCUGACGACCAUAAACGUGAACAUCGCGUCCUCGAAGGCGAAGCUCGAGCAGGAGCUGUCGACCCUCGCCGGUGACUACGAGGAGGUGACGAAGGAGCUGCGCGUGAGCGACGAGCGCUACCAACGCGUCCAGAACGAGCUCAAGCACACCGUCGAGAUUCUGCACGAGGAGCAGGAGCGCAUCGUUAAAAUCGAGGCGAUCAAGAAGAGCCUCGAGAUCGAAGUCAAGAACAUCUCGGUGCGCCUCGAGGAGGUCGAGGCCAACGCGAUCGUCGGUGGAAAGCGCAUCAUCAGCAAACUCGAGGCCAGGAUCCGUGAUCUCGAGUUGGAGCUGGACGAGGAGAAGCGCCGACACGCCGAGACGGUGAAGAUCCUGCGCAAGAAGGAGCGCAACAUCAAGGAGGUGAUGAUCCAGGUCGAGGAGGACUCGAAGAACAUAGCCCUGCUGCAGGAGUCGCUCGACAAGGCCAGCCAAAAGGUCAACAUUUACAAGCGCCAGCUGACGGAGCAGGAGGGCAUGUCCCAGCAGAGCGUGACGAGGGUGCGCCGCUUCCAGCGCGAGCUCGAGGCGGCCGAGGAUCGGGCCGACACCGCCGAGUCCAACCUCACCCUCAUACGCGCCAAGCACCGCAGCUUCGUCACCACGUCGUCCGUCCCCGGCUCCCAGGUCUACCUCGUCCAGGAGUCGAGGCAGGAGCUGUAGGGCUCCCCCGACCCCGAGCCAUCCCCCUCUCCCAAAAAAAAAAAAAUCCCUCAGCGCAUCUCGCCCGUACCGCAGCAUUACAAACGACAAGAGCAACACUUUUUUCGGGCGAGGAAGAGUGAGCAGAAACGACGGCGGAGCAAGCGAGAAGUACCACAUUGCCUCGAGCAGCCCUUGUGUAAGGACGCAUCUAUCGAGCGCCUAAAAACACGGACGAGCUCAUCUGUAUUUUUGAUUGAUUAUGUUAUUACGAUGAUGAUGAUGAUGAUGAUGAUUUUUAAAAGCCGGACAUUUUAUGAAUAAAAUUUUCGAUGAAAAAUGAUGAAACUAGAAAACCAAAAACCGAGUCUACACCACACCGCAACAGGUUGCACCGAGGCCAUUUCACAAUGACGAUCGAUAUUAACGAGUCCAAAGUACACACAUAUUUAUAAAAUAACCAUGCCAUAACGUCAAGUUUCUCUCAUCUCGGCUUUUUUCCUCUCUCUCGCUCGCACACAUCUCAACACCAUUAUUUGUUAUCACGUGUACGCACAUACAUAUUUAUAUACAUACAUGCAAAUCAACAUGUAUAUGUUAUUUAUAUCGAAACAUUAUUUCACACCCCACGAAAUUUUCGUGCCUUCAUCCAUCGCUCACUUUCGGAUCCCGAAAAAAAAAAAAAAAAAAUAUUGCAUCCUCGCCUUGUUUCUUCCUCUUUCGGGAUGGCUCGUGAUGCAAAGUUCAUCGUUAAUAAUAAUGUGCAUUUUUGCAUGCACACACAUCUCCACGUGUCUCUCACGCUCUUUCUAUUUUUCUAUCUCUCCGUCUCUGUCUUUCUCUGUACUCUUUCGUUUUUAUUUUCUAUGGUUCGUACUAAAGUGUAUACGCGUUUCCAUGAGCCCGAAGCAAAGGAGUAAGAAACAAAGGCAACCUGAGAAGAGAGCGAAUUUGAAACGAGACGCGCUUUUCGACGGAAUAAAUGAUACUUGUAUCGAUUAAUAAUAAAAAAUAAAUAAAUAAAUAAAAA